UACGAGGGGGGCAAGCGUUGCUCGGAAUUAUUGGGCGUAAAGGGCGCGUAGGCGGUUUGACAAGUCUGAUGUGAAAUCUAUGGGCUCAACCCAUAGCCUGCAUUAGAAACUGUCGGGCUUGAAUCCGGGAGAGGGAUGUGGAAUUCCAGGUGUAGCGGUGAAAAUGCGUAGAUAUCUGGAGGAACACCAGUGGCGAAGGCGGCUUCCUGGACACCAACUGACGCUGAGACGCGAAAGCGUGGGG
rnacentral:rRNA from 1 species